rnacentral:rRNA from 1 species
GAUGAACGCUGGCGGCGUGCCUAAUACAUGCAAGUCGAGCGGAAAGGCCCUUCGGGGUACUCGAGCGGCGGACGGGUGAGUAACGCGUAAGAAUGUACCCCAAAGUGAGGAAUAACUGCUCGAAAGAGUAGCUAAUGCCGCAUGUGCUCUUCGGAGGAAAGCUUUAUGCGCUUUGGGAACAGCUUGCGUCUGAUUAGCUAGUUGGUAAGGUAACGGCUUACCAAGGCGACGAUCAGUAGCUGGUCUGAGAGGAUGAUCAGCCACACUGGGACUGAGACGCGGCCCAGACUCCUGUGGGAGGCAGCAGUAGGGAAUUUUCCACAAUGGACGAGAGUCUGAUGGAGCAACGCCGCGUGCUGGAUGAAGGCCUUCGGGUCGUAAACAGCUUUUGUCUGUGACGAAUAUGACGGUAGCAGACGAAUAAGGAUCGGCUAACUACGUGCCAGCAGCCGCGGUAA